AAUCCCAUAAGUGAAUCAUUUGUAAAUUGUUGUCCUAUGGCAGGUAAAAUUAGCAUGGCCCUGUGCAAAGAUGACACCCAAAUUUGUGAAGUUUUCCAUAUUUUU
rfam:Ornithorhynchus anatinus chromosome 12, whole genome shotgun sequence.